rnacentral:rRNA from 1 species
AGUGGCGAACGGGUGAGUAACACGUGGGUACCCUACCUCUUAGCAGGGGAUAACAUUUGGAAACAAGUGCUAAUACCGUAUAACACUAACAACCGCAUGGUUGUUAGUUGAAAGAUGGUUCUGCUAUCACUAAGAGAUGGACCCGCGGUGCAUUAGCUAGUUGGUAAGGUAAUGGCUUACCAAGGCGAUGAUGCGUAGCCGAGUUGAGAGACUGAUCGGCCACAAUGGGACUGAGACACGGCCCAUACUCCUACGGGAGGCAGCAGUAGGGAAUCUUCCACAAUGGGCGCAAGCCUGAUGGAGCAACGCCGCGUGUGUGAUGAAGGGUUUCGGCUCGUAAGACACUGUUAUAAGAGAAGAACGACAUUGAGAGUAACUGUUCAGUGUGUGACGGUAUCUUAUCAGAAAGGAACGGCUAAAUACGUGCCAGCAGCCGCGGUAACACGUAUGUUCCAAGCGUUAUCCGGAUUUAUUGGGCGUAAAGCGAGCGCAGACGGUUAUUUAAGUCUGAAGUGAAAGCCCUCAGCUCAACUGAGGAAGGGCUUUGGAAACUGGAUAACUUGAGUGCAGUAGAGGAAAGUGGAACUCCAUGUGUAGCGGUGAAAUGCGUAGAUAUAUGGAAGAACACCGGUGGCGAAAGCGGCUUUCUGGACUGUAACUGACGUUGAGGCUCGAAAGUGU